rnacentral:tRNA from 1 species
GGGCGAAUGGUUUAGUGGUAUAAUACUCCCUUAGCAUGGUCUAAUCAUCUGGGAGUGGUCCAGGGUUCGAUUCCCUGUUCGUCCA